CCUACGGGGGGCAGCAGUGAGGAAUAUUGGUCAAUGGACGAGAGUCUGAACCAGCCAAGUAGCGUGAAGGAUGACUGCCCUAUGGGUUGUAAACUUCUUUUAUAUGGGAAUAAAAUGUUCCACGUGUGGGAUUUUGUAUGUACCAUAUGAAUAAGGAUCGGCUAACUCCGUGCCAGCAGCCGCGGUAAUACGGAGGAUCCGAGCGUUAUCCGGAUUUAUUGGGUUUAAAGGGAGCGUAGGUGGAUUGUUAAGUCAGUUGUGAAAGUUUGCGGCUCAACCGUAAAAUUGCAGUUGAAACUGGCAGUCUUGAGUACAGUAGAGGUGGACGGAAUUCGUGGUGUAGCGGUGAAAUGCUUAGAUAGCACGAAGAACUCCGAUUGCGAAGGCAGUUCACUGGACUGCAACUGACACUGAGGCUCGAAAGUGUGGGUAUCAAACAGGAUUAGAUACCCCUGUAGUC
rnacentral:rRNA from 1 species